GAUGAACGCUGGCGGCGUGCCUAAUACAUGCAAGUCGAGCGAACAGAUGAGGAGCUUGCUCCUCGGACGUUAGCGGCGGACGGGAGAGGAACACGUGGAUAACCUACCUAUAAGACUGGGAUAACUUCGGGAAACCGGAGCUAAUACCGGAUAAUAUAUUGAACCGCAGGGUUCAAUAGUGAAAGACGGUUUUGCUGUCACUUAUAGAUGGAUCCGCGCCGCAUUGGCUAGUUGGUAAGGUAACGGCUUACCAAGGCAACGCUGGGUAGCCGACCGGAGAGGCCGACAGGCCACCGUGGGACUGCGAUGCGGCCCAGACGCCUACGGGUGGAAGCUGUGGGGAAUAUUGCACAAGUGGCGGAAGCCUGAUGCAGCAGCGCCGCGUGCGGGAUGACGGCCUUCGGGUUGAAAACCGCUUUCAGCAGGAGCGAGGCUUGUGGUGACGGUACCUGCAGAAGAAGCACCGGCUAACUACGUG
rnacentral:rRNA from 1 species